rnacentral:tmRNA from 1 species
GGGGGCGACCUGGCUUCGACGUGGGACAUGAAGCAAGAGGAGCAUACCGGGGAGAAUGAGGACCUCGAUAAAAACAUUCAAACUUUUACUAUCUAACGAUAGUUACUCUUUAGCAGCUUAAUUGCCGCUUUCGGAACUUGGGUGAGUCGUCGGUGUUGAUUCAAGUUUCGUAAUUAAUGCCGAAUCGUUUUUCAGGGCUGUCUGCAGACUGAAAGAUUAAGAGUUUCUGUGGAUAUGCCUACGCUGAUUUUGUUCUUGGAGGCUGCGUAGGUAAAUUAAAACAAGAACUAAGUAUGUAGGGCCUUUCUGUGGAUUUCUUACGGACGGGGGUUCGAUUCCCCCCGCCUCCACCA